rnacentral:piRNA from 1 species
GUGAGGCAUAGACAGAAGGUGGGUACCCUG